rnacentral:rRNA from 1 species
AAAGUCCCCUUCGGGGGACAAGUAGAGUGGCGCACGGGUGAGUAACACGUAGGUAAUCUACCUUCGGAUGGGGAAUAACACCGAGAAAUCGGUGCUAAUACCGCAUAAUGCAGCGGCACCUAAUGGUGACAGUUGUUAAAGCGGGGGAUCGUAAGACCUCGCGUCUGAAGAGGAGCCUGCGGCGGAUUAGCUAGUUGGUAAGGUAACGGCUUACCAAGGCUACGAUCCGUAACCGGCCUGAGAGGGCGGUCGGUCACACUGACACUGACAUACGGGUCAGACUCCUACGGGAGGCAGCAGUCGGGAAUUUUGGGCAAUGGGCGAAAGCCUGACCCAGCAACGCCGCGUGAAGGAUGAAAUCCCUCGGGAUGUAAACUUCGCAAGAACGGGAAGAAUAAGUGAGGGUUAAUAUCUCUUACGAUGACGGUACCGUUUGUAAGCUCCGGCUAACUCCGUGCCAGCAGCCGCGGUAAUACGGGGGGAGCAAGCGUUGUUCGGAUUUACUGGGCGUAAAGGGCGCGUAGGCGGCCAGCACAAGUCAGUUGUGAAAUCUCCGAGCUUAACUCGGAAAGGUCAACUGAUACUGUGCGGCUAGAGUGCAGAAGGGGCAACUGGAAUUCUCGGUGUAGCGGUGAAAUGCGUAGAUAUCGAGAGGAACACCUGCGGCGAAGGCGGGUUGCUGGGCUGACACUGACGCUGAGGCGCGAAAGCUAGGGGAGCGAACGGGAUUAGAUACCCCGGUAGUCCUAGCCUUAAACGAUAAAUGCUUGGUGUCUGGGGUUAUAAAG